rnacentral:rRNA from 1 species
AACGAACGCUGGCGGCAGGCCUAACACAUGCAAGUCGAGCGAGGUAGCAAUACCUAGCGGCGGACGGGUUAGUAACGCGUGGGAACGUGCCCAAAGGUACGGAAUAGCCUCGGGAAACUGAGAGUAAUACCGUAUGUGCCCUUCGGGGGAAAGAUUUAUCGCCUUUGGAUCGGCCCGCGUUGGAUUAGGUAGUUGGUGGGGUAAUGGCCUACCAAGCCGACGAUCCAUAGCUGGUUUGAGAGGAUGAUCAGCAACACUGGGACUGAGACACGGCCCAGACUCCUACGGGAGGCAGCAUUGGGGAAUCUUAGACAAUGGGGGAAACCCUGAUCUAGCCAUGCCGCGUGAGCGAUGAAGGCCUUAGGGUUGUAAAGCUCUUUCAGCUGGGAAGAUAAUGACGGUACCAGCAGAAGAAGCCCCGGCUAACUCCGUG